UCUCCCGGCUCCGGUACAGGCAUGGCCAAGUCGAAGAACCACACCACACACAACCAGUCCCGAAAAUGGCAUAGAAACGGCAUCAAAAAACCCCGAUCACAACGAUACGAAUCUCUUAAGGGGGUAGACCCCAAGUUCCUGAGGAACAUGCGCUUUGCCAAGAAGCACAACAAGAAGGGCCUGAAGAAGAUGCAGGCCAACAAUGCCAAGGCCAUGAGUGCACGUGCUGAGGCUAUCAAGGCUCUCGUAAAGCCCAAGGAGGUCAAGCCCACGAUUCCAAAGGGCAGCAGCCGCAAGCUCAGUCGACUUGCCUACAUUGCUCACCCCAAGCUCGGGAAACGUGCUCGUGCCCGCAUUGCCAAGGGUCUCAGGCUCUGUCGGCCAAAGGCCAAGGACAAGGCUCAGACCAAGGCUGCAGCUAUAGCUCUGGCUCCGGCUCCAGCUCCAGCUCAGUCUCCCAAAGGCACCCAGGCCCCCACAAAGGCUCCAGAGUAGAGGCUUUCAUCUAGUGAUGUCAGGAUGUAAGGACUAGUGUGACCCCUGGGCAGCUGUCUGCAUGGGGCUCAUGUCUACCUGUGCUGUUUGUACAAAUAAACCUGAGGCAGGAAAAAAAAGAAAAAAAAAA